CACGUAGGGUGCGAGCGUUGUCCGGAAUUAUUGGGCGUAAAGAGCUCGUAGGCGGUGUGUCGCGUCGGCCGUGAAAACCUGCAGCUUAACUGUGGGCUUGCGGUCGAUACGGGCAUCACUGGAGUUCGGCAGGGGAGACUGGAAUUCCUGGUGUAGCGGUGAAAUGCGCAGAUAUCAGGAGGAACACCGGUGGCGAAGGCGGGUCUCUGGGCCGAUACUGACACUGAGAGACGAGAGCUAGGGGAGCGAAUGGG
rnacentral:rRNA from 1 species